UGUCUGGUAGCCGGUCCUUACAAGCGUUGUAUGCCAUACAUAAACACAGCAACCCAAUGCAAAUUACAGUGCCCCAACUUCAAAAAUCAGAAGAAAUCUGCUUGUUAAUGGCUGGGUAAACAAUAGCCAAUACGACUCACCUCAGGGAUCUCGUGGGUGGCUCGUUUUUCUCCGCUACAACAAGGUGCGGUGGAUCUCGUGGGUGGCUCGUUUUUCUCCGCUACAGCAAGGUGCGGUGUGUUUUGAGCAAUAAAUCCAUACACACAUACAUACAUAAUUCAGUGAUCGGCUGCUAAAAUGGCUGGUGCAAGCGGAAGCCGAAGCUUGGAAGAAACGCCCACUUGGGCCGUUGCUGUGGUCUGUUUUGUGAUGGUUCUGGUUUCAAUUCUCAUAGAGCAUGCCAUCCAUCUUGUUGGAAAAUGGUUAACCAAGCGGCAUAAACGAGCUCUUUAUGAGGCUCUAGAAAAAAUAAAAGCAGAGCUUAUGUUGCUGGGUUUCAUAUCGCUGCUGCUAACAAUAGGACAGGAUACGAUAUCAAGAAUAUGCAUAUCCAAGAGCAUGGGCGAUUCUUUGCUCCCAUGCAGAAAGAACGAUCAGUCAAUAAAUGGUGGUGAACAUGUUAGUGAAUCCGGGGAUGAUGACGAGGGAAGCAGCAACCGUAGACUACUUUGGCUCGAUGAUUUCGACCAACCCCACCCCAGUCUCCGACGCGUGCUUGCCGGGAGCAAAUAUGACAAGUGUUCACCCCAGGGAAAAGUGCCUUUGAUAUCAUACGAUGGGACUCACCAGCUUCACAUAUUUAUCUUUGUUUUGGCGGUGUUUCAUGUUCUCUACUGCAUUAGCACCAUGGCCCUGGGAAGACUCAAGAUGAAAAGGUGGAAAAAGUGGGAACAAGAGACCAAGACGAUCGAGUACCAGUGGUCUCACGACCCGGAAAGGUUUCGGUUUGCACGUGAGACUUCGUUUGGGAGACGGCACUUGAACUUUUGGACCAAGUCACCAAUUCUCAUAUGGAUUGUGUGUUUCUUCCGGCAGUUUGUACGGUCUGUGCCUAAAGUGGAUUAUCUUACAUUGCGACAUGGUUUUAUCAUGGCCCAUCUCGCUCCCCAGAGUUCAACUAAAUUCGAUUUUCACAAAUAUAUUAAAAGGUCGCUCGAGGAGGACUUCAAAGUCGUCGUGGGAAUCAGCCCUAUCAUCUGGUUCUUCGCAGUCGUAUUCCUACUCUUUAACACCCAUGGGUGGUAUUCAUAUUUGUGGCUGCCAUUUAUCCCCUUGAUCAUUAUUCUUCUGGUGGGGACAAAACUUCAAGUCGUGAUAACGAAGAUGGGUUUGAAGAUACAGGAUAGAGGGGAUGUUGUCAAAGGCGUCCCAGUUGUACAGCCCACUGACAAACUCUUUUGGUUCAAUCAACCUCGCCUCAUCCUCUAUCUCAUCCAUUUUGUUCUUUUCCAGAAUGCGUUUCAGCUGGCGUUCUUCACAUGGACUUGGUAUGAAUUUGGUUUGAGGUCCUGCUUCCACAAGCAUCUCGAAGACGUGAUCAUAAGAAUCUCCAUGGGUGUGUUGAUACAGUUCCUGUGCAGCUACGUCACGCUCCCUCUAUACGCUCUAGUUACUCAAAUGGGUUCCAACAUGAAAACCACAGUCUUCGACGAUCGUGUGGCUGCAGCUCUUAGGAAAUGGCACCACACUGCGAAGAAGCACAUCAAGGAGGGCCGGAAAUCAGCAAGUGUGACCCCCUUCUCAAGCCGCCCAGGCACCCCACUACACCCAAGUGCUGGGGGAGAGGGCCUUUCCCCUGUCCACCUCCUGCGCCACUACAAGAGCGAGCUGGACAGCUCCCAUGUGUCCCCUCGCUACUACAACUCCGAUGAUGCCGAUGGCUCCCUUUCCCCUUCACCCACACACCACCGCAUCAGCGACGCUGAUGGCUCCUCAUCCCACCACUAUCGAUCGUACCAUGGCAACCCCUCUCCUGAACGGGAGUUACAGACAAUGCCUGACGGAGAACGGGAAGGGACUGCUGCGGCCCACGAGGCACCGCCACACCAUGAGAUCACCAUGCCGCAUCAUGAUUUCUCCUUCUCGAAGGGACGACGAUGAGCGGCAUUCUCUUCUCAGGGGUUGUUUGAAAGGGAGGGGAACUCUCUUUGUGCAAACGAAUAGAUUUGUUACCUUUAAUGAGCGAGCAUGUGAUAUCGUCUUGGGGUAUCCGGCUUGGGAGGCGAAGUGGAUUUCUAUCAAAUUGGUAUCAAAGUAUGGUUCGUAAAGCAUGGUGCCCUCAAGUAUGAUGCUCCAACCUCAAGUUCCUCGUCUUACAAAAUAAAAUUACGGAAAUUGGUGUAUUCAAACGAAGGCGGCGCUCGGAUUACAUGAUGUGUGGGAGGUUGUUGAAAAAUGGUACAAUGAACCCCAAACCCUAGAAGAGGAAGCUGAAAUGACAAACAAUCAGAAGGCUGCUCCAAAAGAAUCGAGGAGACUAAACAAGAGAGCCCCUCUUUUUAAUCUAUCAAGGCAUUGACGAAUGCACCUAUGAAAAUGUUGCUUAUGCUGCUUCUGCAAAACAAGCAUGGGAGAUCUUACAAAAUGUCUUCAAAUGAGAAGAUAAAGUGAAGAAAGUUUGUCUGCAGACAUUAAGAGCUGAGUUCAAGAUGCUACACAUGAAAGCGAGAGAAUUAAUUUCUGAUUACUUCUCAAGAGUGUUGGUCAUAGCAAACCAACUCAAGAGAAAUGGUGAGGUCCUAGACGAGGUACAUAACAUGGAGAAAAUAUUAAAUUCUCUUACAUAACUUUGAGCACAUAGUUGUAGCAAUAGAAGAAAGUAAAGAUUUGUCGACUAUGACUACCGAUCAACUGGUGAGUUCCUUGUAAGCCCUUGAACAAAGAAGAAAUCAAACACUUCUUUGGAUCAAGUGCUCAAAACCAAUCUCUCCCUAAAAAAUGAAAGAGGAGGAUUUAGAGGUAAAGGUCAAAGAGGGCGUCAGACAUUUAAUAGAGGUGGACGAGGUUACAACAAUUCCAAUUCCAAUGCUGGAAGAGGAAGCAGCCAAAUAUUGUAAUCCUUAAGAGCUCGAGGUGGUCGAAACUUAUGUUCAUACAAAUGUCUUUGAGGAUAGUUAUACGCUUAGU